rnacentral:rRNA from 1 species
ACUCCUACGGGAGGCAGCAGUAGGGAAUCUUCCGCAAUGGGCGAAAGUCUGACGGAGCAACGCCGCGUGAGCGAUGAAGGCCUUCGGGUCGUAAAGCUCUGUUGUUAGGGAAGAACAAGUACCGUUCGAAUAGGGCGGUACCUUGACGGUACCUAACCAGAAGGCCACGGCUAACUACGUGCCAGCAGCCGCGGUAAU